AGACUACAUUUCUCUGAAUAUCUCUUUUUUAGAAAAUGCUAGGUAUCUUCUAUACGAGUGAGUGAGAAACACUUCUCCCGUAAGGAAAAAGUAACAAAUAGUUUGUGUAAAAGUAUAAGGAAGAUUUGAUUAAAGAUUUUUCCUAUGUUGUAAUAUCUUCAUGAAAUAAAAAUGUUUGUUUUAUAUCUUUUGUCAUUCUUUUAUGUUGGUGAUAAACGAAAGUUGUGAUCUUCAGCCUUGACGGAGGAAGGACGACACAGUAGCCUGAGACAGUGAAUCGCAAUAGGCUAAAUAGUUCUUCAUAGCUGGAAGGAGAAACACUAUGGUGUUGAUACAAACAAUAUAGAAAGAAAGUCGAAAGAGUGUGCAGUGCAAUACAAAAAGUGGAGAGGAAGUUAUGGAAAGUUGGUUCCCUUUUUCUUUCGCUUUGGAAUGAUUAAAUCAUUCUUGAUAUUCUUAUAGUAAGUAUAACCCCACUGGCCACUAUCACUGUCCGCUGUGCCUAUUUGGGACGGAGUCAAAGUAGGAUCAAGGAAUUUAUCCUAAGUCUUACUGAUGAAACAUUAUAAUAUUUAUUUUUGAUUAAAAUUAUGUUUUAUGUAUAUGUAGUAUAUGCAAAAUUUUAUUUAAUUUAUUUGUGUAUUUAUUUAUUUAUUUAUAUUUUAUACUCUCUUUUGGUAAAAA